GACGAACGCUGGCGGCGUGCUUAACACAUGCAAGUCGAACGGAAAGGCCCUGCUUUUGUGGGGUGCUCGAGUGGCGAACGGGUGAGUAACCCGUGAGUAACCUGCCCUUGACUUUGGGAUAACGUCAGGAAACUGGGGCUAAUACCGGAUAGGAGCUCCUGCUGCAUGGUGGGGGUUGGAACGUUUCGGCGGUUGGGGAUGGACUCGCGGCUUAUCAGCUUGUUGGUGGGGUAGUGGCUUACCAAGGCUUUGACGGGUAGCCGGCCUGAGAGGGUGACCGGCCACAUUGGGACUGAGAUACGGCCCAGACUCCUACGGGAGGCAGCAGUGGGGAAUAUUGCACAAUGGGCGGAAGCCUGAUGCAGCAACGCCGCGGGCGGGAUGACGGCCUUCGGGUUGUAAACCGCUUUCGCCUGUGACGAAGCGUGAGUGACGGUAAUGGGUAAAGAAGCACCGGCUAACUACGUG
rnacentral:rRNA from 1 species